rnacentral:lncRNA from 1 species
GAUCGAGUUACACUGUAGGCAGGAUCUCUAAACCAACACUCUUAGUUACAAUAGUUAGUCAUAUGGUAUCUAUUUCACAUUUUUGUCGGUUGCCUUGUCUCAGCAGUUUUUUUAUCCAUUUGUAUUCACGGCCUACUUCUUUAUCGCUCCGGUCAGCUUUGUUCCAGAAGACUCACCACAAUAUGCAUCUGUUCUCAUGAAGAAAUCACGUAGUGUAAAUUUUACACGAUCUAACAUCUUAUUCUUCUUCUCUAGACUUAGUUUGGCGUUCAAGUAAAAUCCAACAAUACGAGUCAAGCUUUCUUUGCAUUCCUUUCCAUUACCUCAGCUGAGUGAGAUAGAAUUCCAUGUGUUUAUUCAUCAACCUUGUCUAGAGCUUGUAGCUUGAUUAAUCUGCAUUUAAGCUUCAAUCUUUUAGCCAAUCGCAAACAAAACCAUGUGAUUAUACCUGGAACUCUAUGGACAAUCCAUUAUCAGCUUAUGUGCUCAUGUCUUCAGCACAUCUUUAAAACUGGAUGUUAAUUUCAGAUCAACUUCAUAUCUAUCAUGCUUGCUUACAUAGAUGAAAUCUACAAAAUUAACCUAGUGAUGACAUGAGAUUCAAACAAACCAAAAAAAAAAAAAAAUUAUUGAAGCAACCAAGCCUUGAUCCACUAAUUCUGAUUCAUGAUAUUCACGACAAAAGUCAUCUAUGCAUAUUUGCAAGUCAAAUUCUGUUUUCAGGUCACAAACGCAUUGACUUAAGCCCACAUUGCUUUAGCCAUCCUCCUUCACGAUGACACCUGCCUCUCUUCACCAUUAUUCUCAAAGAAUUGGUACAAAACAUUAUUCAUAAAAUAUUUGACAGCAUAGAGGCUGAGAGACACAGUAGUAAAUCUAUUUGAAACCUCAUUUCUUCUUUCAGAAUCCAGAAACCUGCAACUCACACUUUGCUCAGACAAUAUCUUUACGUCUUUUCUGCCAUUUACCUUUUUUUGUUUCUGCUUCAAAUGAGUUAAAAAAUAUUACAGGAAUUUCAGUGGCUGGAUUCUUUAUGUAAUCUAUCACGUCAAAACCAUGUCCACCAUAAAGUCAAUCAGUACCCCUUAAGAGAAUAAUCUUCACUUCCUGAAGUGACAGACACCUAUUGACCAUUUUAAAACCUCAGCUCCUAGAUCCAGUCUCUGCUGACAGUUGGUACCGGAAGGCAUGAGCCGGUAGCUAGGAAUGCAGCACUUGCAAUAAGAUAGAUCAAGUUCUUG